UCUUGUUCAAUGAAAUCUGCAAAUUCGUCGAUAACGCCAGCGCGGUGGCCUUGCGUGCGAUUAGGAGCUUCAUCAUCGACUUCGUUUUCUUCUUCUUCUUCUUCCUCAGAAAAUAUGUUUUCAAGAGUCUCUUCUUGAUCUCUUCCACGUUUUAAACGUCUCAACUUAGAAAAACGAGAGCCUUGGCCUGUAUUCUCCAUGACAAGUUCCAGAUCUUCCUCAUCAAGCAUAUCUUGAUCAGCAGUACUUUCGGCAUGCUUCUUACGUUUCUUUUUGCGCCGAAUUUCCUGAGGAACUUCGUCUUCUUCAUCUUCGACGAUGAAACCCUCUCUAACUUGUCGCUCAGCUUCUUC